rnacentral:rRNA from 1 species
UGCAGUCGAGCGGAACGAUCCUAGCUUGCUAGGAGGCGUCGAGCGGCGGACGGGUGAGUAAUGCAUAGGAAUCUGCCCGGUAGUGGGGGAUAACUUGAGGAAACUCAAGCUAAUACCGCAUACGCCCUACGGGGGAAAGCAGGGGCUCUUCGGACCUUGCGCUAUCGGAUGAGCUUAUGUCGGAUUAGCUGGUUGGUGAGGUAACGGCUCACCAAGGCGACGAUCCGUAGCUGGUCUGAGAGGAUGAUCAGCCACAUCGGGACUGAGACACGGCCCGAACUCCUACGGGAGGCAGCAGUGGGGAAUAUUGGACAAUGGGGGCAACCCUGAUCCAGCCAUGCCGCGUGUGUGAAGAAGGCCCUCGGGUUGUAAAGCACUUUCAGCGAGGAAGAAUGCUUGUCGGUUAAUACCCGGCAAGGGAGACAUCACUCGCAGAAGAAGCACCGGCUAACUCCGUGCCAGCAGCCGCGGUAAUACGGAGGGUGCGAGCGUUAAUCGGAAUUACUGGGCGUAAAGCGUGCGUAGGCGGCUUGAUAAGCCGGUUGUGAAAGCCCCGGGCUCAACCUGGGAACGGCAUCCGGAACUGUUAGGCUAGAGUGCAGGAGAGGAAGGUAGAAUUCCCGGUGUAGCGGUGAAAUGCGUAGAGAUCGGGAGGAAUACCAGUGGCGAAGGCGGCCUUCUGGACUGACACUGACGCUNAGGUACGAAAGCGUGGGUAGCAAACAGGAUUAGAUACCCUGGUAGUCCACGCCGUACACGAUCUCGACUAGCCNUUGGGGUCCUCGAGACCUUUGUGGCGCAGUUAACGCACUAAGUCGACCGCCUGGGGAGUACGGCCGCAAGGUUAAAACUCAAAUGAAUUGACGGGGGCCCGCACAAGCGGUGGAGCAUGUGGUUUAAUUCGAUGCAACGCGAAGAACCUUACCUACCCUUGACUUCGUGCGAACUUUCCAGAGAUGGAUUGGUGCCUUCGGGAGCGCACAGACCGGUUCUGCAUGGCUGUCGUCACCUCC